rnacentral:rRNA from 1 species
GAUGAACGCUGGCGGCGUGCCUAAUACAUGCAAGUCGAGCGAACAGACGAGGAGCUUGCUCCUCUGACGUUAGCGGCGGACGGGUGAGUAACACGUGGAUAACCUACCUAUAAGACUGGGAUAACUUCGGGAAACCGGAGCUAAUACCGGAUAAUAUAUUGAACCGCAUGGUUCAAUAGUGAAAGACGGUUUUGCUGUCACUUAUAGAUGGAUCCGCGCGGCGUUAGCUAGGUGGUAAGGUAACGGCUUACCAAGGCAACGAUGCGUAGCCGCCCUGAGAGGUUGAUCGGCCACACUGGAACUGAGACACGGUCCAGAGUCCUACGGGAGGCAGCAGUAGGGAAUCUUCCGCAAUGGGCGAAAGCCUGACGGAGCAACGCCGCGUGAGUGAUGAAGGUCUUCGGAUCGUAAAACUCUGUUAUUAGGGAAGAACAAAUGUGUAAGUAACUAUGCACGUCUUGACGGUACCUAAUCAGAAAGCCACGGCUAACUACGUG